GCCUAAGGCAGUUCUGAUUAUGGGAUAUUUUUGUAAUUUCAAGUUUCCGAGUUCCUACUUAUAAAAGGGGAACUUGAGCAACUCUAUAAAUAGGUGUUUGUAACUUUAUCCUUCAUGGUGAAAAAAUGCAGGCGUUUCUUUUUGGAUGUAGGCACAUCACAGAACCAUGUAAAAUGUCUCAUUUGUGUUUUUCUUUUCUUUCUUUUUAAUGUGCUUGUUAUUUUAAUUUGUCUGUAAUUUAUCAACACAUUUCUCAUUUUUAAGAUUUUUCUGUGAG
rnacentral:misc_RNA from 1 species